GUGCCAGCAGCCGCGGUAAUACGGAGGGGGUUAGCGUUGUUCGGAAUUACUGGGCGUAAAGCGCACGUAGGCGGGUCAGAAAGUUGGGGGUGAAAUCCCGGGGCUCAACCCCGGAACGGCCUCCAAAACUCCUGGGUCUUGAGUUUCGAGAGAGGUGAGUGGAAAUUCCGAGUGUAGAGGUGAAAUUCGUAGAUAUUCGGAGGAACACCAGUGGCGAAGGCGGCUCACUGGCUCGAUACUGACGCUGAGGUGCGAAAGUGUGGGGAGCAAACAGGAUUAGAUACCCUGGGUAGUCC
rnacentral:rRNA from 1 species